rnacentral:lncRNA from 1 species
GUUCUCGCAAGACCUGGUUGUUUAAAAGUGGGCGGCACCUUCCCCUUCGCUCUUCCUCCUGCUCCUGCCCUGGUAAGAAGUGCUGCUUCCCCUUUGCUUUCUGCCAUGAUUGUACGUUUCCUGAGGCCUUCCCAGCCAUGCUUCCUGUGUGGCCUGUGGAACGGGAUUCUCCCUGCCACAGAUGUGUCUGGAUGGUGACAGAUGGGAAUCUUCUCCAGUGACCAGAAUCCAUGCCUUACCUUGGGAGCCCAAGCUGACUUCUCAAGCUCUGGGGAUGCCUCAGUGAUCUCUGAUGUGGAAUUAGUGGAGGCUGGCCGUUGCUCACCUCUACACAGCCUGCUGGUCGUUAGCGAGCAGGAGUUCUGAUGUUCCUCUCAUCUUGGAUGUCUUUCCUAGGAGAAUAUUUCUCACGUGUUUGACAGAAAACAUUAUCUGUCCAUCAUUUCCAUGGAUUCCUGGGUCUCACGGGCAGAAGGACAAGGCAGAUAUGAGGCGGAUCUGGUAAAUCAGCUGCCGGGUCCACCACUUCUUAACUUCAGAACCGCAGGAAGCCGCGUCAGUCAUGGGGUUCAUUUUGCACACGACAGAUUUCAUGGUUGUCCUUCCUCCAAACCGAGGAACCUAGAUCUUCUCUGAUCUCUGAAAAAUAAGUUCCUGGAUAUGAAAGGGGAUACUUUCCUUGGUGGUAGUCCCAGUGAAGACCCACUGAACAUCGUCAGCCUCAAAAUGUAAGCUGUGCUGUCAUCUGCUUUGUGGAACACAUAUGCUACACAUCUUCUCCUUUCAAUUGGGCUGAAGUUGGGGCACAGUUAAAGAGCAUUAUAAAGCUCCUGCUUUAGCAUGAACUUAGUUAUCUAUAGAAAAAAACAUGUACAAGGACACUGGGCUGUGGGGAGCAUUGCUCUCCCUCCAUUCCUGAGUGCUCUUAAUGGGAUUAUCCUGGCUUUCCAAAACCCUAUAGAGAAGAAGCUCAUAGAAGAAAAUUCUCUUACUGAAUCAGUAAAAUAUGGAAAAUAAUGGGACUGUUUAUUAAAGGAUUGAAUGAGAGAACACAAGUAAUGCACUUAGAAGAGUGACUGGCAUACAGUGAGUACUACGUAAGUGUUUGUUGUUGUUGUUUGUUAUUGUAUGGAGGUAAAGCAGCUUGCCUAAAGCCAGUGACCGGCUCAGCUGCAAAGUGUGCUGAGAGAAAUCGGGGGCCUGUCCCUUUUUUGAGAACUUCGUGGCAUUUUCUGAAUGAUUGCAUCUGCCCACUCCCUCUUCAGUUGAAUACUUUUGCCCAUGUUUGAGCAUGCCUUGAGGCACACAGAAAGCCCUUGGAAAUUUCUCCCUCUUGCUGAAUCUUGUCUUUUUCAUAGGUGCUGGCUUCUCAACCAUGAUAGCCUGAAAUGUACCCGGAAAAUGGGGGCUAAUGUAAGUCAUAUUUAGAGAAGUUAUUUUGGGGGACAAUGUUUUUGACAAGACUACAUUUUUCAUUAUGUUGCUGUCUGUAAACAACUGUAGAUGCAGACUUGCAUUUUGAAAGGCAAGACCCAAAACACACAAACAGAGUAAAUACCUUUAAAAUGCCUCGAUCGCUGGAGAAAUGCCUGGAUGGACCUACCUGAGGGCAGACGCCACUGCCCAAAUUUCCUCUGGGGUUUCCCUGCGUCGGCUGCAUCUUGCCGACUUCCUCCUCGAUCCGACAGCGUGGGGCUCAGGAGCUGCUGCUGGCUGCUUGUCUGCAUGGGAGGAGAAGCACACAGUUACCGUCUUUUUAACCCUGCGCUCUCCUCCUUUUACUAUAAGAAAGGAAAACACAUGGCAGGAGGACAAGUGGGAAGAACAACAUGGACUCAGAGUGUCCACAAUGGGGAAAAGUGAAAAUGGGUAUAAAGGGUCACAGAAGAAAAAGAGCCACCACUGCACGCCCUGCUGAAGGAGACACCACUCUUCCUGGGACAUCUUGUCCUGGGUAACCCCCACUGCUUCGUUCCCCUCCAUGCCUGAGAAUGUCAUUGUUUCCCUUCAUAUCUUCGCUGGCAAACCAGGGGGUAAGGAAGGGGAACUGCAGGAAGGAAGGUGGGGCAGUGGGGACGGGCUGGGCGGGGGCAGUCUACUGUCACCAGCCUGGAGAUCCACACUUAGAGCUUCAGGGAAAGAGUUCUCUGCAGGCAAAGCUGUAUGAUGGGCCCUGGUGGAGGAUGGAGCUGAUAACAAUCUAAGCUACAGUGAAAGAAAGAGAGAUGCCAAGACUUCCCACACAUUUCACCUGUUCUCAGGUUCACCUGUCACCUCUCCCUUUCCUAACAAAAGCCUUGGUCUUCACAUCUCUUUAGUAUCCUUUUUUUUUUUUUUUUGUCACCUCUUUCUUUCUUAGGCUUUUUCAUCUAAAAACAGAGGGCUCUGAAAUCAUCACUUUCCCCAACCUCAUUAGCCCUGUCUCACUGUCUGUCCUGACUUCAGCCUGCCUCCCUCUCCCAUGCGAGACAUUGCCAACCAUCUUCAGGGUGACCAGUGGCAAGGCCACUGCAGAUGCCUCCCCUUGCCCCUUGGUUGACUAACUCCGCAGAAGUCCCUGCAGUCGGUGGCAGAUGAUUUCUAAAGGCUGGGGAGCCCAAAACAUGAGAUCUACUGAAAACUGAGCUAUGGCACCAGUGGGCCUCCUGGAGCACCCUGCUGGGCCGUGGAGCCUUAGGCUUCCAAAGGUACUCUGGCCCCUGGCUGCGUUGCUGCACACCAUGGAGCCUGGUGCUGCUGGGGGCUCUGCACAGAGCACGGGAUCAGCUCCACGUUGUUAACCUCAAAUCGUAAUUGCUGCCUCAUAAAGGGGCAGGUCCUCCCAGCCAGCUGCUUCUCACAGCACAGGACUCUCCAGGACGCUGAUAACUCCUUGUACUUUUUUAUAUAGACACAUACAUAGAGUUUGAAAAUGAAAAUAUGCUGUGACUUAAUAAAUAGAAACUCCUCAAGCCAAUUGUCCUGAAUUCCAUAUGUUCUUCUGAUACCCAACCAGGAAAGGAUAUAUCUUCAAUGAGUCUGAUUAUUUAAGGAGGUUGAAAGCUAAUUACAAACAUUUUCACUGAUUUUACUGCAAAUUUCUAUGACUUUAGAGAAGGGAGGAAAAUAUUUAGGGCAGAGCUUCCUGUAAACCAUACUCCAUGUAAUAUACCCAGAUUCAAAUGCAGCCCUUAGAGCUGAUGUUAACUCUUUAGACAAAAAUAAAACUACAGAAUUAUGAAGUUCAGGGCAUUCACUUUUUUUGGCAUUCAUAUGAGUCAGACUCUUUUUAAAUAACCUCAACUGCAUCCAAGAUGGCAAAGACAUAGACAUAAUCUGGAUCAAUGGAUUUCCGUUGCCUUUUUUUUUUUUAAUGAAAAUAUUCCUAUUAGAAAUAUUGUCACCUUGUUUGAAUGAUCUGACCAGCACCCAUUUUAUUUAUUUUUAUUAAAAGAAAGAAGCCCACAGAGUGUCCUGGGACAGAGGACGCCUCGUGCCCAUACCUCAGGUUGCAUGCUGUUGUCCUGACUGUUGGCAUUCGUGUCCUCACUGGGCUGGGUGGUCUCGAUGCUGGGCGGGUUCAGAAACCGGCUCAGCUCUUGCUGCUGACUCUCUCUCAGGCUGUGGAUGAUACUGCACGACUGCUGCUGUUUCUAUGGAAAUGCGAUUGUUUGUUCAGUAAAAUAAGCCCAGCAUCCUGCCUGCCCCACCGCCACACAAAUCUUAUUUUCUUCUCCCCUCUCCUAAGACCUGCAUGACGGGUGACCUCUUAGGAAUUUCCAAGUAAGGAUCCUGAACUAAUUUCAAUGUUCAAUUAAGGUAGGCUGAUGCAAAGGUGGGCUUAGAGAGGUAUGCAUUGACUUCCCAGUCCAUUUUCAUUUGUGUAACAAUCAGAAUAGUGACGGUCAUUGAUGCUUGUAUUUUAUUUAUUUGUUUUUCUUUUUGUUGUUGGUGUUUUCUGUUUUUUUUUUUUUUUUUUUAGAUAGGAUCUCACUAUGUCCCGUAGACUAGAGUUCAGUGGUGCGAUUAUUAUAGCUCACUGUAACCUUAAACUCCUAGGCUCAAGCUAUGCUCCUGCCUCAGCCUCCUGAGAAGCUGAGACUAAAAGUGUGCAUGACUGUGGCUGGCUAAUUAAUUUUUUUUUUUUUUUUUUUUUUUCAGAGAGGAGGUCUCACUCUGUUGCCCAAGCUAGUUUCAAACUUCUGGUCUUAAGCGAUCCUCCCGCCUCAGUUUCCCAAUGUGCUGGGAUUACAGGCAUGAGACACUGUGCCCAGCUUAUGUCUUAUUUAAAAUUACUAAUGUGGCUAUUCUAUUUUUUCUCCUCUUAUUUUAUUCUAGGCUCAUUAAGCCAAUACAAUCCCAACCCCUUUCCCACUUUCCUGCAAGUUGUAAGAGGCAAAGAGCCUUGGGUGGAUGAGAAAACCUUUGUGCUUGUCUUGGUUCUGAAGUUUUCAGGUCAAUCCAGGAGACCAAUCUGUCUCGGCAUAUACUAAAGCCAGGACUCCUUGUGCCCUCUCAGAGCCAGAGGAGGACAGAUUGAUCCCUGGAGCUAACAUAGCUACAGUGGCCAGCAGUGAUGGGACAUCACUGGGCAGCUGGCCUUGCUAUAGGAGGUUGAGUUGUAUCUUUUCUCUGGGAACCUUUUCUCCUCCAAUAGAAAUACAUGUGUCUGCAAUUGACGUUGUUGCUCUGAGGAAGAGGAUUGAAACAAUCUCUGUUAUAUAUAAAUGUUUAGUGAUUGCUUUGGGUUUUUUCCCUGUCUGUGAAACAUGCCAAAAGCAUUCAUAAAAGUAAUUAUCUCAUAGAAACAUUCACUGUAAAUACAGUAUAUGUCAAUGCAGUAUACAUUCAUUAAUUUAUGAGUUAGAGAAUCUUAUAGGCUUAUAAGUCAGGAAGCAGGAAACAUCAUUAAUCUUGAGAGGUGGUCUUUUCAGAAUAAAUGACAUUAUCACAGUUUGUUGAAAUUUUUAGCAGCAAUUUAAAGUAGUUUUGCAAAUUCAAUAUGUGGAAAAUUCUAGAAUUUUGAACAGUUGAGUUUAAUAAAUGGACAUCAUAUUUUAAUAUCAAUAAACUUUUUUUUUUUUUGAGACAGAUUCUCACUGUGUCACCCAGGCUGGAGUGCAGUGGCAUGAUCUCAGCUCACUGCAACUUCUACCUCCCAGGUUCAAGUGAUUCUCAUGCCUCAGCCUCCUGAGUAGCUGGGACUACAGGCAUGUGUGCCACGCCUGGUUAAUUUUUGUAUUUUUAGUAGAGAUGGGGUUUUGCCAUGUUGGCAGGCUGGUCUCCAACUCCUGGCCUCAAGUGAGUUGAGCUCCCCCCUUGACCUCUCAUAGUGCUGGGAUUACAGGCAUGAGCCACCACACCUGGCCAAUAAACUGCUUUUUAAGUCUUCAUGUCAUAUUAUAAAAAUGGGAUUCCAUGGAAACUCCUAAUGGACUCUGCUAAAGAGGGCAGGGCUGACUGUGGACUAGAGUGAAAGUCUGCAUCAUGAUCUGACCACUGUAAGUGGAGGUAGUGGACAUAGUUUAAAGGGAUAGAAGGCUGAUCACAGAAGGAGCUAAUCCCAUGUUCACGAAGCUCUUUUCUUUCAUCCUCCUGCGGGGCAGGGCGGGGCGGGGCGGGGACCCAACCUGCAUGUGUGCAGUUCACUCACAGCUCUGAUGCGCUUCAGGCACUUCUUGAGCCACAUGCGGAUGGUCUGCUUGGCCACCUCCUCCUCUAUGGUGUACUCCAGCUGCUCCCUCGCCAGGAGUUCCUCCAGCUGCAAGCUCUUCCGGAUGUCCACGGACCGGUAUGAAAGCAUGCUGGUGGGAGAAACACACCUGCAAUCGCAGCUCUGAUUCACCUGAGAUUUACACCCUUAGAUACGUCAAAAUCCAGAGAGGACAUCACUCAGUCUAAUAAGUCUAGUGUUUUGACGCCACCCCUCGCCACCCGCAUGUCUUGGGCUGGUCCUGUCACCUCUCUGUGUCUCCCUUCCCUCGUCUGUAAAACAAAGAUGAUAGAUAGUCCUGGUAACUCCUUUAUUUAAUGACUAAGUGAGUUAAUAUCUGUGAGGCUCUUAUAGUAGUAAGUGCCAUCUAAGUGCCUGUAAAGCAAAAGAUCCAGGCUAGGAAAAGGCUCGCGACUUUCUCUGCAGAAGGAAGACCGCACCUCCCAUACUUUCUUCACACUUAGCCCCCCGAGGUGAUGGUUAAUAUGCUCGGCUGUGCGUCACACAUCCCUACUCCCUGCAUCCCACUUCCCUCUCUGUUUCUCUCAUUCAUCCUUCUGUAUCUUCCUUAUUAAUUAAUUUUUUCUUUUUUUGAGAUGGAGCUUCACUCUUGUUGACCAGGCUGGAGUGUAAUGGCGUGCUGUCAGCUCACUGCAACCUCCGCCUCCUGGGUUCAAGCAUUUCUUCUGCCUCAGCCUCCCAAGUAGCUGGGAUUACAGGUGUGUGCCACCACGCCCAGCUAGUUUUGUAUUUUUAGUAGAGACGAGUUUUCACCAUGUUGGUCAAACUGGUCUUAAACUCCUAACCUCAAAUGAUCCACCUGCCUCAGCCUCCCAAAGAGCUGGGAUUACAGGUGUGAGCCACCAUGCCUGGUCUUCCUUAUUAAUUUCAGAGGCUACCAAACAAACCCAGGGUUGAAUAUCCACUCCCAUUUAACCCUUGACAC